CACUUCUAAGGAAGGCAGCAGGCGCGCAAAUUACCCAAUCCUGACUCAGGGAGGUAGUGACAAGAAAUAACAAUAAACCGGCUUAUGCCGGUUUAAUUGGAAUGAGUACAAUUUAAACAUCUUAACGAGGAACAAUUGGAGGGCAAGUCUGGUGCCAGCAGCCGCGGUAAUUCCAGCUCCAAUAGCGUAUACUAAAGUUGUUGCAGUUAAAAAGCUCGUAGUUGGAUUUCUGUGGGGACGGAGCGGCCGGCCACAACACGCGGUUCGAGCUAGCGCUUUCCCUACAUCCUGCCGCGAACCGUGCUACCAUUAGUUUGGUGGCGCCGGGGAUCGGCUCGAUUACUUUGAGAAAAAUAGAGUGUUCAAAGCAGGCCACACGCCUUGAAUAAGUUAGCAUGGAAUAAUAACUAAGGACUUCGGUUCUAUUUUGUUGGUGUUCGGGACUGAAGUAAUGAUUGAUAGGGACAGUUGGGGCGGUCUGUAUUCCAAAGCGAGAGGUGAAAUUCUUAGACCUUCGGAAGACAAACAGCUGCGAAAGCGUUCCGCAAGGAUGUUCCCUUUGAUCAAGAACGAAAGUUGGGGGAUCGAAGACGAUCAGAUACCGUCGUAGUCUCAACUAUAAACUAUACCAGCUAGGGAUCGGCCAACGUUAUUUCAAACCGACUUGGUCGGCACCUUAUGAGAAAUCAAAGCAUCUGGGUUCCGGGGGGAGUAUGGUCGCAAGGCUGAAACUUAAAGGAAUUGACGGAAGGGCACCACCAGCCGUGGAGCCUGUGGCUUAAUUUGACUCAACACGGGAAAACUUACCAGGUCCAGACAUAGUAAGGAUUGACAGAUUGAUAGCUCUUUCUUGAUUCUGUGGGUGGUGGUGCAUGGCCGUUCUUAGUUGGUGGAGUGAUUUGUCUGGUUAAUUCCGUUAACGAACGAGACCCCAGCCUGCUAAAUAGCGCGCGUGAGCUUUGCUCGCGGCGAGCUUCUUAGAGGGACUAUGAUGCGCGAUAGCACAUGGAAGUUUGGGGCAAUAACAGGUCUGUGAUGCCCUUAGAUGUUCUGGGCCGCACACGGGCUACACUGGCGCCUGCAACGAGCAUAUCAGCUGGCCCGAGAGGGUCUUGGCUAAUCUUUUGAACCGGCGCCGUGCUUGGGAUUGACCUUUGCAAUUGUUGGUCAUGCAACGAGGAAUGCCUUGUAAACGCGAGUCAUCAGCUCGCAUUGAAUACGUCCCUGCCCUUUGUACACACCGCCCGUCGCUCCUACCGAUGAAUGUUCCGAUGAAAUUUUCGGAGAGCACCUGUGAACCUGGCUCUGCCUUGCGAACGGGAGGCUCAAAGUCACUUAAAUCUGAACAUUUCGAGG
rnacentral:rRNA from 1 species